ensembl:snRNA U6 U6 spliceosomal RNA
GUAUUUGAGCAGCACAUAUACUAAAAAUUGGAAUACAGAGAAAAUUAGGAUGGCCCACAUGCAGAUCUGUGAAGCAUUCCAUAUCUUU